CGAUUAAGCCAUGCGAGUCGAGAGGGUUCGGCCCUCGGCGUACUGCUCAGUAACACGUGGAUAACCUGCCCUAGGGAAGGGGAUAACCCCGGGAAACUGGGGAUAAUACCCUAUAGAUUACAGAUGCUGGAAUGCCCUGUAAUCCAAAGUUCCGACGCCCUAGGAUGGAUCUGCGGCCGAUUAGGUUGUUGUUGGGGUAAUGGCCCAACAAGCCCGUAAUCGGUACGGGUUGUGGGAGCAAGAGCCCGGAGUUGGAUUCUGAGACACGAAUCCAGGCCCUACGGGGCGCAGCAGGCGCGAAAACUUUACAAUGCGGGCAACCGUGAUAAGGGAACCUCGAGUGCCUGUAAAUGCAGGCUGUUCAGGUGCCUAAAACACACCUGAAGAAAGGGCCGGGCAAGACCGGUGCCAGCCGCCGCGGUAAUACCGGCGGCUCGAGUGGUGGCCGCUUUUAUUGGGCUUAAAGCGUUCGUAGCUGGGUUGUUAAGUCUCUUGGGAAAUCUGGCGGCUUAACCGUCAGGCGCCUAAGGGAUACUGGCAAUCUUGGAACCGGGAGAGGUGAGGGGUACUUCGGGGGUAGGAGUGAAAUCCUGUAAUCCUCGAGGGACCACCUGUGGCGAAGGCGCCUCACCAGAACGGCUUCGACAGUGAGGGACGAAAGCUGGGGGAGCAAACCGGAUUAGAUACCCGGGUAGUCCCAGCCGUAAACUAUGCGCGUUAGGUGUAUCGGUGACCACGAGUUACCGAGGUGCCGAAGGGAAACCGUGAAACGUGCCGCCUGGGAAGUACGGUCGCAAGGCUGAAACUUAAAGGAAUUGGCGGGGGAGCA
rnacentral:rRNA from 1 species